GUAGGCUCAGCAUUGGGCUCCGAGGCCAGGGAACCAGAUAUACAUACCGAGGCCUCCAGAGCCAGCCCACAGCUGCCAUCGGAGAGGGGACAAAGGUCACCGGACAAAGAUCACGGUCAGGGCUGGGUGGACUGGCCAGGCCCCUCCCUCCUCCAGACUUGGCCAUGUUCCUCACCGGGACCACUCAGCCCGCUGUGAAGAACAUCUGGGGAAGAUCUGACCACUUGAAGUGCCCACUGGGAACAGCUGGCUACCCUCCCUGGCCAGGAGGUGAGUGGUGGUGAUGGCAGACCCCCAUCCCCGGGCUCUGGAGUGACGCAGCUACAAAACACAGAACGCCAGGACUGACAGCAGCGGCCAGAAGCCGGGAGAGGCAGGCAGGGCUCUCCCCUGGAGCCUCCAGAGGGAGCACGGCCCUGCCCACACCUGGAUCUCACACUUCCGGCCUCUAGAGUCGUGGGACAUUACAUUCUUGUUGGUUUAAGCCACCCAGUUAGUGGCACUUGGCUGCGGCAGCCCCGGGAAACUAGUAUACCCACCUGGACCAAUCCCUGUCACGGUGAUGAGGACCCUUAUUUUAUCCAAAAGCAGGAGACCGGCUUUCUCGGUGUCCGCUCGGCCCCUGGCCUGCUGCCUGCAGCUGACCCAUGUGCUCAUGUGGGGUCUGUGUUGGUUAACUUCCCGUGUCACCUCCCGCCUGAUGACCUUCCCACUGAAACGCUGGCCUGGGGGUCUCUGGUUUGACUUGUCAGCCCCCGAAACCACAUGAGUGAAUUCCUCACAAUAAACAGACAAAUAAGCACACGCA